rnacentral:rRNA from 1 species
GACGACGGUAUUGCCUCAGUAGCGGCGAGUGAAGCGGCAAGAGCUCAGAUUUGAAAUCGUGCUUUGCGGCACGAGUUGUAGAUUGCAGGUUGGAGUCUGUGUGGAAGGCGGUGUCCAAGUCCCUUGGAACAGGGCGCCCAGGAGGGUGAGAGCCCCGUGGGAUGCCGGCGGAAGCAGUGAGGCCCUUCUGACGAGUCGAGUUGUUUGGGAAU